CAAGUUGUUUUUAUAAUUUUCAAUAAUAAAAUAAGAAGUUUUAUGUUACGAUGUUAUAUUAUGAUGCAAUUUCAAAAAUAACAUGUUCGGCUAACAAAGGCAAUGUUUAUCUUCUAUCCAUUUUCACUGAAAAUAUUAUUAAAAUGACAAUCAACUAUUUACGAGAGUUUUAAACUCGCAUAGCUGCCGUCUGUCACCUACAAAUUUGGAUCUGAUUAAGUGCGCAAUUAAUCCGGACUAAUGGUGCCGUCUGUGAAGGCUAUUAAUAGAAAGCUAACUCUCUAAAAUUUUCAGUAUUAAAUGGGAGUUAGCAACGUUAUCUUUACUAACUUCUGAAUUAAUUCGGAUUAACUGUGCCAUCUGUCAAUACUAUAAGGUGAUCGAAAAAUGAUUGUGCUGUCGGCUAUCUCAGAUAGUGGUAGGAUAGAACCACCUAAAACUUCAUUAUCGUUUAAAUGUUAUAUUGUUCUGUACAAUGCUUCGAGGAUAUUUGUUAACAAUGGCGCACUCAUCUUAAAUUAUAAUUGAACUUACUAUCAACAACUAGUUCAGUAGCAACACUAGGAAAAAUACAUAUAUGUAUACAAAAAUUACUGAAUUCUAGCAAUAGCUAUAUGUUGUUAGUAUUAUUUUUAUGAUUCUUUUCUGUUAACAUAAAAAAUAUCCUUUCUCCGUCCUUCGUUCUAAAUUACUACUACAGCCAAAUCGGUUAAACCGUUCUUGAGGUAUUAAUAGUGCAACUAAAACAACUCUCUUUAAUAUAUACAAGUGUUGUAUAUAUAUUUAUAUUGUAUAGUUAGACAAUAUUAAAGGUCUAAAGGGUUUUUAAGAUCUCUCCAAAAUUCAAAACAGGUUAAAUCAAGAGCAAAUGGAGGGCCAUGGAGACAUUGCACAAUUACCAAGCAAGCCUGUUUUAAAGAUAACGAAAGAAGUGGAAAAAGAUAAAGCAAAAAAAUAAAAAUAAAUGGCAUGUAUUUUAAAACGUAACUAUAUUUACACAAACGCUAUGAAAGUACGGUUAUUGGCCCAACUUAUUGGAAUUUGUUUUUCUUAGUGUUACUCAUACCUAAUUCAUUUUAAGCUGCUGAUUAACUGUUAGCGCACUAUUGCAGCUAGUACAUAACAGAUGGUGCUGUAUAUGAGAUGCCUUUAAUUAUGAAUUGUCAACUGACUAAAAUGUUCACAUACUAAUAUCAUACAUAUUUUAAAUUCUCGCAACAUACUGCAACAGCGAGUACAUAUAAUAGUUUUGUUAACCUAACGGUUAUUUGUAUCAAAUAUAACUUAUCGAGUUAGUAGUAGUAGAGUAGUUAGUAGAUAUAGCGUUAUAUACUGUUGAAAAAAAUAGAAAAAACAAGUUCCACUCCUAUACUUAAAACCAAAUUGUGUAUGAAAAUGAUUAACAUAAAAGCGAUAUCACAUAGAUCACUGAUAACGAAACUUCAUUGUACUCUUCUUUUUGAGAAGAUUUCGUUUUUUAUAAUUACCGUAAUUUACGAUCUUAUGAACAAGCACGUUUUCGCGAAUAUUGCACGUUCUUUUCUGUUAGUUCCCUAAAAAAGAGUUUAGAUUUAACCAUUCAAGUACGUUUAGUUACAAAUUAUCAAUUUUGUGAAAAUAACUUAUUCAAAUCGACUUUUAUAUUCCAAAUGGUUCGCGGAGUGUACUGUACAGCACAAAAAAAAAUGAAUUGGAGGCUUUAAACCAAAAAAUAAAAACAACUUUGGGAAAAAGUAAAAGCCAAUGGGUACGGCAUUGAUCCUUCAACUUGUGCCAAUAUGGUUAAUUCUUUGCUAUGAUAUUUUUAAAAAUAAAUUAUUUUUCAAAGGAAAAAAAUAAAGAUUGGUUUGGUAAAAGAAUAUUUAAAAAACAUGCUUCUGUUCCCUAUGAAGUAAUGAAGCAUACCUAGUCCCUUACGAAAUAUUUUAUUUCAAUUUUAUUCUAAUUCUAUUACUUUUUCCACUGAAAAAUAAUUGUAUAAAUCAACUUCAAACUUAUAUCAGGUAUUAGAAUUUUAUACCGGCGGUUUCGUUUUCACUUUUAUUCAUAUAUAGUAGUUUAUUAUAAUAUUAUUAAAUGUAUAUCAUAUCGUAACAUAUCAUAUCUAUAUCUCAUUUAAGGGUAGCCUUGUUUAUGGAUGAUUUAUAUAACGAACGAAAAAAAAUUUAUUAUUUUUUAUGUUAAAGCCCAACAUUUUUCAAAUAACACCUAUACUUUAACAGAAAAAAAUAAUGCUUUGAUUCUCACUUGCCCCAUUAAAAGCGGUUUUUGUAUUUUUUUUCAGUAUUUAUUUUGAAGCAAAUGUUACAUGAAUAGUAAUAAAUUAGUCUUAAUAUUAUCCCUUGAUUAUAAGCGAUUAAAACGGCUGAAAGACAAUGUUGUUUCGAUAUUCUUAAAUAAGGAAUGCCAUUGCCAAGUUUCCUUUGUUAUAGCGACAUUUCAUAAUACGUUUUAUUUUUCUAAAAAUGUGUAGCUAUUUUUAAUUACGUAAAAUAACUUAAAUAACAAGAACCAUAUCCAUAACAUAUGUAAGAAAGUUGUCAGUACUAUUUCCAAAUAAGCAGUUAUUCAAUAAAAUGGAACCCAAGCAACGAAAACAAUAUUUGGAACUGUUAGUAAAUAUGCCUACUAAUAUCAUGUGAGAUGGCUUAAAUAAUUAUAUGAACACAGAGUUAUAAUUUGGUUCUAAUUUCCAAUGGAAUCAUCAUUGGAAUACUUUUCCUGAGAGAAGUAUAAUUAGCCUGGGCGGUCAAAUGGUGUCAGUUACACAUAUUUAUCUUUGAUUAAACUGGGCCCGAAAUAGUUUUAGAUCGGUUACGUAAUGGCCCACAUUUUUUUAUUUCUUACUUAUGACUUACCACUUUUGAUUGUUAAAAAAAAAAUAAUGUCUAAUAUAUGUACAUACAUAUAUCAGUUGACAGCCAGUCAGAGUUGCUUGCUAGAAUUUUUACUUUUCUAAAAAGUUUUCUGAUCGAUGUAUGUUUCGAAUAUUUUUUUUCUACAUAUAUAUUUUCAAAUUAUUUUUUUAAUUAUUUAUUUAUUUCAAUAAAUUUGGAAUUUUUAAAAAUCAUUGCAUCUGAAACAUUGAAAAUUUAUUUUUUUUUCAUAUAUUUCAAUUUUAGGCCGGUUAUGUAGAAUUCGUCUUUCCCUUUGUUGUGCAUACAUAUGUAUAUGCAAGUGAGCAUAUAAAUGUGUUAAAACUAGUGCUAUUGUACCUCUCUUUGUUUUUUGUUACUCAAUAAACCAUAUAUGACAAUAUGAACAACUUAAUUGAGCGCCAACGUACAUGUAUAACUGAAAAUAUAUUUGUACUAUGUGAAUGAUGCACAUAACUUAAUACCAAUUGUAUUUCUGUUUGACAAUAGCCACUUGCAAAGAAUUUCUUUUGAAGCUGCACACCCACGGUACCUAAUAAUAAGGAUAUAUAUAUCAAAACAUAUUAAACUCUUACCAAAUAUAUCAGAUCGGUUUUAUAAAAAAGUAAGCAAAUAAAUUUGGUAAACAAACAAGUCAUUAAUUUAUUUCUCACAAGUAAAUAGUUAUAUAUGUGUAUAUCAUAAAAUAUAUUAAUUAUAACUUUGAAAUAUGUAUAUAUUAUAAACAUCCAGCCAAAGACAAAGAAGAUACAACCUACCAUUUCAAUUGUGUUUAAGAAAAAUCAACGAUGUAAGUGUGGCCUCGUGUUACGUAUACUGAAGGUAUACCGGAUAGUAUACACUCAGGAUACAUUCAGUAUACGUAUACGAAGUUGCACAUGUUCACAACAACCACAAAAACUGCAAGUCACUAAAUGCACAACUAAUUAAAUGGAUUACAAACAACGAUAGCAAUUACCAAAAAUAUAUAAAAAUAUUGCAGUUAUGAGCUCCGUAAUUAUUGUCAUUCCAGUUUAUAGAGAUGAUUAGUUGGGGUCGCAAUGUCUUACAAUUGAUAAAGUUGCUCCAUUAGCUGAAAUUUCCUCCAUGUGUUAAAGUCUACGUAUAUACAUAUACAUAUAAAAAAUAAAUGCGCCUUCCACAACAGUCCACUGAAAACGUUAAAUCAAUUAAUUAUUUUUAACUAAAUGAAUAUAUUACUGAAGUGAAUUGUUAUUUAUUUCAUAGUAAAACUAUAAUUAGACACUAAUGUAUGUUACACCGGUAAUUAAAUUAGAUGUAAAUUAUUUGAGUUCAACCUUUAUAACACGUAUUCACAAUGACUAACUGCUCCGGCGAUUCAGCAGCAACUAAUGGACAUGGAAAUCAGGGAAAAUGCAAGCGCUCUUUACUUGUGAGUUUUCAUUGUCCUUUUUCAUUUGCUUCUCUCGUUUUUACGUAUUUCAUUUUCUUACCAUCAAUUCGUUUUCACAGUACCUUACUGAAGGAUAUGCGCCACGAGAAAACUAAAGGGAGUGUAGAGAGAGCUGAAUAAGAAAACGAAUGAGGGAGGUAUACAAAAAGUACUGUGAAAUGAAGGGCAUAAUGAUGUAGAUAAUACUAAAGUCAUAACUUUUGUAACAAAUAUUUAUAACGAUAAUAUGAGAAUUUCUAUAAGUUGAUAGUAUGUGAACAUAUCUGAUGUAACGAAAAAAGGACUUUUGAUUAAACGAAUAAGAUGGUGAAGAGGAACCAGAAACAAAACAGAGAGCGGCUUGCGUUUAGAGAGUUUUUGAGAAAAUUCACCCAUUGAGUUUGAACUUUCGAAAACAUGUCACGCUACUCUUUCGUAUACGCCGGUACAAUAAAGAAAACACAAACACA